rfam:Aggregatibacter actinomycetemcomitans D11S-1, complete genome.
CUGCGGGGGACAAAACGCAAUGCGUUUUGAGCGUUGGCUCUGCCAACGACCCCAAAGGGGUGAGUAAGUGAGUUUCCGAGCUUGCGAAUAAC